ACUCAACAAAUGUGGAGCCCUACUGCGACCCGCCCGAUCCCGGACGCCGAGACACCCGCACUGCGCCAGAAAAUCAUGGUCCCAGUCCCAGGAGCGGACAUUCCAGAAACAGACCAUAAAUAAACACAGAAGACACACGAGUGUAAAGUCAGUGCCCCGCUGCGAAUUAAAUCGGGGUGAUGUGAUGGCGAGUGAGUGGGUAGUUAAUUCGGAUGGCUUGGUUAGACGAGGCCUCGCUGAGCAGGUGCCACUGAAGCCGAAGUCUGAAGGCAGAGCAGGAACCUGCGGGCGAAGGUCGCUAUCUGAACCGCGAAUCGCUGGUUUCCCUGGGGAGGUUGGCCGCGGAGGGAUCACUGCUCGAAGGACCGAGGGAGCGGGCGCUGUAGGUGUUUUCGGCAGAGAUGCCCGCCCGCAUCAGAGUGCCUCAGGAGGGCGGUGAGGAGGAGACGGAAGAGAGGGCGGGGACCUCGCAGGGCCGAGGGCGCCCUGGGGUCCAGUCCCGGGGCUGGCGGCUGCCUUGCGGCCUCUAGGUGCGGGCGGAUAACAAAACCCGGCGCCGGAUCGCCCGGCCCGGGUCGCGGGCGCCGCAGGAUGUGGGCAGAAGGCCCGCCUGUUCCGAGCCUUAAAUCAACACCUGCGGUUCCCGGGGGUGCUACCACUGGGGCCCGCAGCAAGGCUCCGCGGCGCUAGGCCCGAGAAACCGAAACUCCCCUAGUCGCCCCUGCCCCCCAGCACUCGCGCCAUUGCCUCCAGCCCCGAGCCACCAUUGUUUCCAGUGCCAAAUCGGGCAGCCCCGCUAGCCUCCGAGGCCGAACCGCCAGGGGCCCCAUAAGCCCCGAGGAGGCUCGUCGGGAACCGCUUCCUUAUCCUCUCGGUAUGCGCAUCGCCACCACCCUCGCUGCAGAGGCCGCCGCCCUCCCAGCGCGCCAUCACCGCCUCCUCUGCCUCUUCCCCUCCCUCAGCCCCGGCCCCUGCAUUGACUUGGCUCGGGCUGCGCCUCACUGCGCCUGCCAACUGUCACACGCUCUGAGGCUUUCAACAGCGGGGCGCCAGGGACAAACAAGCCGCGGCAAGCGCAAACAGCCUGCUCAAACAGGGACGGCCAGGGUGUUGUUUGACCAGCACUGGAAUUGGAAACUAGGUUUCGAAGAAGUCAAAUCGAAGUACAAUAUUGUAUUUUAAACUGCCUGUUGUUAUUACAUCCCUCACAACGCACGCUCUACUUGAAACUUCCAGUGGAUACCAACUGCACUUAGAAUAAAAAAUGAAACUCCUUGCCUAACUCUGGGACCUCAUCAGCACAUACUCACCAUAUUUUGGUAACAAAGGCCUUCAUGCUGUUCCCGGAAGUCGCCAAGUUCCAUCCAUCAUUGUUAAUAAUUCCUUUUGCUCGCUCCUCGCACAAGAACUGUUUCUUCUGCUUAGUGCUUUGCCUACUGAUUCCAUCUUGUCAUUUAAGUCUCGGCUCAAAUGUCACCUCUGCAAAGAACCCUUGUCUGACCAUACAUCUAAAAUAGCCACAAACACUCUAUAAAGACUUGGCCUUGCUUUAUUUCCUUCUCAGCACUCAUCACUGUCUGAAACAAUGUUUUGGAUUUGUUGCUUAUUAUCAGUCUCCCUUCUCAAGAAUGCAAGCUUUGUGAGGGCAGAGUCGUAAUCUUUUUUAAGGCUGUAUCCCCAAUGCCUGGAUUAUCAACUUCAGGCAAUGGACCACGCACCAGGAUUCCACCUCUUUCUAGCACCUAUCAGUGUUGCGCACAUCAUAGGCCCUCAACAAACAGGCAGCCACGCUGGGGGAUCCCACAUGGUAAAGAACUGCAGGUGGCCUCUAGGAGAUGAGGGCGGCCUCCAGUCAACAGCCAGCAAGAAACUGAAGUGCUCUGUCCUACAACCUUGUGUAACUGAAUUCUGCCAACAACCUGAGUGAGACUGAAAGUGGAUCCCUCUCCAGUCAUGCCUCAGUGUGAGAGAAACCUGUGACUUGCUUCUAACCCAUAGGAUAUGGCAAGGAACUAGUCAUAUCUGAGAGCAGCCUCCAGAAAACAGUCAGCAAAACACUGAGGUUCUCAAUCCGAUAGUCAAUGAGGAACGGAAUGCUGGAACAAUGAUGUGAGCUUGGAAGCAGAUCCUUCCCUUCUGCUGGGCCUCAGGUGAGACUGCAGCUCCAGUCAUCAUCUUGAUUGCAGCCCACAGAAACUACCAACCCACAGAAACUGUGAGUUAAUAAAUGUGUUGUUUUAAGUUG
ensembl:lncRNA novel transcript, antisense to LNPEP and ERAP2